rnacentral:tRNA from 2 species
GGCUACGUAGCUCAGUUGGUUAGAGCGCGGCACUCAUAAUGCCGAUGUCGCUAGUUCAAGUCUAGCCGUAGCCACCA